rnacentral:lncRNA from 1 species
CCAGAUCCCAGGCUGAUCCAUCAUCCUCCAGAGAGCAGUGAGACCACCCCAAGAGCUGAGGGACAGCGUGCACCCUCUUCCUGCAGCACAUCUGAGUGGGCUGGUGGCCUCCUGCCUGCUGCAGAGCUGCUUCUGUCAGGAAAACCAGGUGUUUUCAGUGGGAAGCAGAGCCUGGGAAGCUCCUUUGCUUUCUCCCGUGUGUGGGCAGAGGUGGAUGAAGGCUGGGAAGGCUUUGUCUCCAAUUCCAGACUGAGAAGCUGAGCAGGGGAUGAAGGAGAAGAUGAUGAGGGAUGUGUAAACUACUCUGCAAGAUCAUCCCAGGAAAGGAACUAAAGGAGCCAGAAAUUAGAAGGAACCUCACCUACUGGGAAUGCUCCUGCCUUUCCAAAUCUCCUUCUCUGUGCCAUCCCUGGAAGAAACUUGUGAGUAAAUCUGGUUUUAUGUUUCUUUCUUUCAUUUCUGGAAGGCAGAAGUCUUGGAGAAACGUCUUCCUUUGUUCCUUGAAGGGCUGUGGUAGAGAGCAUGAAUUGUGGUGUGUCCUGAGGCUGGGAGUGCCAGAAGGGGGCACCUUCAGAAGACAGAAAUCACAAAAUCCCGGGUUCCCUCCUGCUGAAUCCAGAGAUGCUGUGUGGGGUGGGACUGUGGGGUUGUUGUUCAACAGGGCUGGUUAA